GAUGAACGCUGGCGGCGUGCCUAACACAUGCAAGUCGAACGAAGCACUUUUUUACGAUCCCUUCGGGGUGACGAAUUUGUGACUGAGUGGCGGACGGGUGAGUAACGCGUGGGAAACCUGCCUUGUACCGGGGGAUAGCAGUUGGAAACGACUGAUAAUACCGCAUAAGCGCACAGUAUCACAUGAUACAGUGUGAAAAACUCCGGUGGUACAAGAUGGUCCCGCGUCUGAUUAGCUUGUUGGCGGGGUAAUGGCCCACCAAGGCGACGAUCAGUAGCCGACCUGAGAGGGUGACCGGCCACAUUGGGACUGAGACACGGGCCCAAACUCCUACGGGAGGCAGCAGUGGGGAAUAUUGCACAAUGGAGGAAACUCUGAUGCAGCGACGCCGCGUGAGCGAUGAAGUAUUUCGGUAUGUAAAGCUCUAUCAGCAGGGAAGAUAAUGACGGUACCUGACCAAGAAGCCCCGGCUAACUACGUG
rnacentral:rRNA from 1 species